GAUGAACGCUGGCGGCGUGCCUAAUACAUGCAAGUCGACAACAGCGGCGGACGGGUGAGUAACACGUGAGUAACCCGCCCUUUUCUUUGGGAUAAGCCUGGGAAACUGGGUCCAAAACUGGAUGGAUUGGGAUGGGCUCGCGGCUUAUCAGCUUGUUGGUGGGGUGCUGGCUUACCAAGGCUUUGACGGGUAGCCGGCAUGAGAGGGUGGUCGGUCACCCUGGGACGGAGAUACGGCCCAGGCUACGACGUGGGGGAGCAGUGGGUGAUAUUGCACAAUGGACGAAAGUCUGAUGCAGCGACGUCGUGUGGGGGAUUAAGGCCUUCGGGUUGUAAACUCCUUUCGCCAGCGGAAUGGUAGUGGGUAAAGAAGCGCCGGCUAACUACGUGCCAGCAGCCGCGGUAAUUC
rnacentral:rRNA from 1 species